rfam:Brachypodium distachyon strain Bd21 chromosome 3, whole genome shotgun sequence.
CGUCUACUCCCUCCGUCCCAUAUUAAGUGACUCAAAUUUGUUCAAAUAUGGAUGUAUCUAUAUACAAAAAGUGUCUAGAUACAUGUAAUAAUAUGUCACUUAAUAUGGGACGGAGGGAGUAUUUG